GCUCUUUUGAGAACCGAACCUCGGUGCGCCCGCAGCCCUGAGCCCAACGCCUACUCCAGGGGUCCAAGUGGUACCCACUGUAACGAGUACCCGGCCAGGGAGAUGGGGAGAGACCAGAAGGGCACUGGAGAAGGGAGCCCCCGGGCGGGAAGCGGGGAAGCAGUACGGAUCGUUAGAUGUGCCCGUGCUAAGUCAGAUUGGAGGGUGAGUGGAGAGGCCGCGAAGGGCAAAAGGAUCCUGCGGCUCCCGGUGGCCUGCAGCGCAGCCCCGCUCGCACGGUUCCCAAGCACGCUUGAGCAGAGCGGAAACACGAGGAGCAGGGGAUAGAGGUGCUGAGGGACCCCACGGGGAAGUGUGUGACACCAGAGCCAGAGCUCCGCGUGGGCCUGCAACGUCUGAGCUCUACUCUCCCCACAGGAGCCGGUGCGCUCCAGCUCGGUCCAACCGGGUAGCAGAUCCAGGAGAGGCACUGAGCUGGGGGGCUACAUCUUUGACCCCCCUGUCGGGAAGGAUCGGGCCUUUGGCUCCAAAUCCCGCUUUGUCUCCAGUCAGAGCCUGUGCUGGAAGAAAUGCCGGGCCAAGCACUUUCUCCCGAACCGGGAAAAACCCCGGGCGAGGCGUUCUCCAGCGGCGCGGGCAGCUGUGGUUCCCUGCGGCAUCAGGCUGCUGUGGGGCCGCGGGAACUGGGUGGCUGGUCCGCAGCCUGAGCUCCCGCAGCUCCUCCCUCCAAUGCUUCCAUCCCCUCCCCACUGUGGCAGGCCUUGGUUUUGGAAAGGAAACAGUCACCGCCGAUCCAUUUGGGACCUGGAACGCGACUGUGACGCCGCCUUGUCGGAGGGUAUCAACUUGCAUUCUUUCUUCAGGACGUCUCCAACCUGUCUCUUGUUGAAUGUCAGAGUAAUGGGAAGCGCCAGUGACAAGCCGGCGUAUUACUCCUGAUUAAGUGCCGUGUCAACCUAAUUAGCAGAGUAAUUAUAAGGUGCUAAUGAAUGAUUCAAAGUUCUUUGAGUUACAUUUUACUCCAAAUUACCAUUUUUAAGAACCUUA
rnacentral:lncRNA from 1 species